rnacentral:rRNA from 1 species
AGCGAACGCUGGCGGCAGGCCUAACACAUGCAAGUCGAACGAAGUCUUCGGACUUAGUGGCGGACGGGUGAGUAACACGUGGGAACGUGCCUUUAGGUUCGGAAUAACUCAGGGAAACUUGUGCUAAUACCGAAUGUGCCCUUCGGGGGAAAGAUUUAUCGCCUUUAGAGCGGCCCGCGUCUGAUUAGCUAGUUGGUGAGGUAAAGGCUCACCAAGGCUACGAUCAGUAGCUGGACUGAGAGGAUGACCAGCCACAUUGGGACUGAGACGCGGCCCAAACUCCUACGGGAUGCAGCAGUGGGGAAUCUUGCGCAAUGGGCGACAGCCUGACGCAGCCAUGCCGCGUGGAUGAUGAAGGUCUUAGGAUUAUAAAAUCCUUUCACCGGUGAAGAUAAUGACUGUAGCCGGAGAAGAAGCCCCGGCUAACUUCGUGCCAGCCGCCGCGGUAACAC